rfam:Triticum aestivum genome assembly, contig: Triticum_aestivum_CS42_TGACv1_scaffold_577218_7BL
AAAGUACUCCUUCCGUUCGGAAUUACUUGUCAUUAAAAUGGAUGAAAAUGGAUGUAUUUAGAACUAAAAUAAAUCUAGAUACAUCUAUUUCAAUGAAAACUAUUUCCGGAUGAAGGGAGUAUAUC